rnacentral:tRNA from 1 species
UGGAGGAGUAGCGAAGAGGCUAAACGCGGCGGACUGUAAAUCCGCUCCUUCGGGUUCAAAGGUUCGAAUCCUUUCUCCUCCAU